ACAUGCAAGUAGAACGCUGAAGAGAGGAGCUUGCUCUUCUUGGAUGAGUUGCGAACGGGUGAGUAACGCGUAGGUAACCUGCCUUGUAGCGGGGGAUAAUUAUUGGAAACGAUAGCUAAUACCGCAUAACAAUGGAUGACCCAUGUCAUUUAUUUGAAAGGGGCAAAUGCUCCACUACAAGAUGGACCUGCGUUGUAUUAGCUAGUAGGUGAGGUAACGGCUCACCUAGGCGACGAUACAUAGCCGACCUGAGAGGGUGAUCGGCCACACUGGGACUGAGACACGGCCCAGACUCCUACGGGAGGCAGCAGUAGGGAAUCUUCGGCAAUGGGGGCAACCCUGACCGAGCAACGCCGCGUGAGUGAAGAAGGUUUUCGGAUCGUAAAGCUCUGUUGUAAGUCAAGAACGAGUGUGAGAGUGGAAAGUUCACACUGUGACGGUAGCUUACCAGAAAGGGACGGCUAACUACGUGCCAGCAGCCGCGGUAAUACGUAAGUCCCGAGCGUUGUCCGGAUUUAUUGGGCGUAAAGCGAGCG
rnacentral:rRNA from 1 species